rnacentral:rRNA from 1 species
AAUCAACGCUGGCGGCGUGCCUAACACAUGCAAGUCGAACGCGAAAGGGGCUUCGGCCCUGAGUAGAGUGGCGUCCGGGUGAGUAACGCGUGGGUAAUCUACCCUCGGGUGGGGAAUAACCAAUCGAAAGAUUGGCUAAUACCGCAUAAUGCAGCGGCUCGACAUCGAGACAGUUGUUAAAGCAGCAAUGCGCCAGAGGAGGAGCCUGCGUCUGAUUAGCUGUUGGCGGGGUAACGGCCCACCAAGGCUACGAUCAGUAGCUGGUCUGAGAGGACGGCCAGCCACAAUGGGCACUGAAACACGGGCCAUACUCCUACGGGAGGCAGCAGUGGGGAAUUUUGCGCAAUGGGCGAAAGCCUGACGCAGCAAACGCCGCGUGAAGGAUGAAAUCCUUCGGGAUGUAAACUUCGCAAAUAUGGGAAGAACACAAUGACGGUACCAUAUGUAAGCCCCGGCU